rnacentral:lncRNA from 1 species
UGGAAGAUUAUAAGGGAGUACAUUACAUGAGAGUAACAUAUAUUUCACAAUCUGUAUGGAUGGGGUCAAGCUAUGCUAUAUGUUAUAAGGAAUUGCUAAUGAUCUUAAGAGGUUAUAAGUGCGAAACAAGCAGACCUAGAGUCUGAACAUAAUAGCUACUGAUCUUGAAUACUGUAGGGAACUAUGGUGAAGUCAGUGGUGACGGGGUGCAUGCUAAGUAGAUAGUUCUUCACCAGCCUUUUUUGUUUCUGCAGCCAUUGUCAGAAACAUUCUCAAAGCUUGGGGUUAGAAGAAUCAACAAGGCAAAUAUAACACCACCUAGUACUAAAGGGUUAUUUUUAGUACCGGGUGGUGUUAUGACCCGGUACUAAAGCU